UGAUGACAGCGUGGCGGUGGUGUCAGUGAACGAUCUUUAUGAAGAGCUGCGAUAUAAAGACCCUCCGGCCGCAGAAGUGACGCCGCUGCAGCCGCCCAAUGCGCCGUGCUUCAGUGUUAAUAUCCCUCUGAUGCGAGUGGUGCAGUCAGUCAAACACAGCAAGAGAAGGAACAGUGGAGUGCUGAAGAAAGGCUGGUUGAUCCAUCAUACCAACACUGACACGCUGAGAAAACGUCACUACUGGGUAUUAGAUGGGAAAAGUAUCACCAUGU